rnacentral:rRNA from 1 species
CAGGGAAACUUGGGCUGAUACCUGGAUACGUCCGUAAGGAGAAAGAUUUAUCGCUGAAGGAUCGGCCCGCGUCUGAUUAGCUUGUUGGUGAGGUAACGGCUCACCAAGGCUACGAUCAGUAGCUGGUCUGAGAGGAUGAUCAGCCUCACUGGGACUGAGACACGGCCAGACUCCUACGGGAGGCAGCAGUGGGGAAUAUUGGACAAUGGGCGCAAGCCUGAUCCAGCCAUGCCGCGUGGGUGAUGAAGGCCCUAGGGUUGUAAAGCCCUUUCGGCGGGGAAGAUAAUGACGGUACCCGCAGAAGAAGCCCCGGCUAACUUCGUGCCAGCAGCCGCGGUAAUACGAAGGGGGCUAGCGUUGCUCGGAAUCACUGGGCGUAAAGCGCACGUAAGGCGGUUUUUUAAGUCAGAGGUGAAAUCCUGGAGCUCAAUCCAGAACUGCCUUUGAUACUGAGGAGCUCGAGUCCGGGGAGAGGUGAGUGGAACUGCGAGUGUAGAGGUGAAAUU